rnacentral:rRNA from 1 species
UACGUAGGGUGCAAGCGUUAAUCGGAAUUACUGGGCGUAAAGCGUGCGCAGGCGGCUAUGCAAGACAGAUGUGAAAUCCCCGGGCUCAACCUGGGAACUGCAUUUGUGACUGCAUAGCUAGAGUACGGUAGAGGGGGAUGGAAUUCCGCGUGUAGCAGUGAAAUGCGUAGAUAUGCGGAGGAACACCGAUGGCGAAGGCAGCCCCCUGGGCUAACACUGACGCUCAUGCACGAAAGCGUGGGGAGCAAACAGG